UUGCUUUGGCAGCAUGUAUACUAAAAUUGGAACGAUACAGAGAAGACAACAUGGCCUCUGUGCAAGGACGACACUCAAAUUCGUGAAGCAUCCCAUAUUUUU